rnacentral:lncRNA from 1 species
UCCCUCUCUGCUGAUUGGAUCAAGGAGGAAUACCUGGAAUGAAGCUUCAUGAUAUACCUCCUAGCCUUCUUCUGGUCCGUGUCAAGAUUUUGCCCUGCAAACGACAACAGCUCCAAGAACUUAUUUGUGUACUCAUCUACACUCAUCUCCUCCGACUGUCUUAGCUGCUCAAACUCAAUCAUCUUCAACUCUCUCGAGCUAUCAGGGAAAGCCCAUUCUGCAAACUCAUUAGCAAACCCUUCCCAUGAUAGACUAUCCAACCUUGGG